UGAGCUUCCACCUCUGUAUUUGUCAGGAUCU
rnacentral:misc_RNA from 1 species